CCUACGGGAGGCAGCAGUGAGGAAUAUUGGUCAAUGGGCGUAAGACUGAACCAGCCAAGUCGCGUGCAGGAUGACGGUCCUAUGGGUUGUAAACUGCUUUUAUACGGGAAUAAAAUGGGGCACGUGUGCUAUUUUGUAUGUACCUCAUGAAUAAGGAUCGGCUAACUCCGUGCCAGCAGCCGCGGUAAUACGGAGGAUCCGGGCGUUAUCCGGAUUUAUUGGGUUUAAAGGGUGCGUAGGCGGCCUUUUAAGUGAGCGGUGAAAUACCGAGGCUCAACAUCGGGGCUGCGGCUAAUACUGGAGGACUAGAGUGCGCAGACAGCAGGCGGAAUGCGUGGUGUAGCGGUGAAAUGCUUAGAUAUCACAAAGAACACCGAUUGCGAAGGCAGCUUGCGGGGGCGCAACUGACGCUGAGGCUCGAAAGCGCGGAGAUCGAACAGGAUUAGAUACCCGAGUAGUC
rnacentral:rRNA from 1 species